CAGUCGGCCGCGGUAAUACGGAGGGUGCAAGCGUUAAUCGGAAUUACUGGGCGUAAAGCGCACGCAGGCGGUCUGUCAAGUCAGAUGUGAAAUCCCCGGGCUUAACCUGGGAACUGCAUUUGAAACUGGCAGGCUAGAGUCUUGUAGAGGGGGGUAGAAUUCCAGGUGUAGCGGUGAAAUGCGUAGAGAUCUGGAGGAAUACCGGUGGCGAAGGCGGCCCCCUGGACAAAGACUGACGCUCAGGUGCGAAAGCGUGGGGAGCAAACAGGAUUAGAUACCCGCGUAGUCCCUGUCUCUUAUU
rnacentral:rRNA from 1 species